UUAUCCUAAUAUAUAAAUAUUAUCUCACUGAUGCUUCAAAUGAUGCUACUGGUUUGGAACUAAAGCUUGUUCCUACUCUCACUUAGAAGAGUGCAGAUCCCUUGACUGCUGUGCAGUUGCUCCUGAUUUACACUGGGGUUGAAGAGAAUUAGGCACCCGGCCUCCGAUUUCCCAUGGAAAAUGGACUUCAAGUGGAGUUGCAGCAGGUGUCCAUUUGAUGGCAAGUACUUCAGUGGCAUGACCUCAGGCAUCAGCAAUGACAGUACACAUUUAUAACUGCAUUAUUUAACUCUGCCAAGUAUUUUCAGGACACAGGUAGCAUAAGGACAUCAUUUGAACCAUAGCUGUAUUUAUGCAAUCCAACUUUGACUGAGGAAGGAGACGAACAUACUCUGUUGGCAAGAAUGCUUCCCCAGGAGUAAUUGUGGACAACUUUCCCCUUUUCUGAGUUUCCAUUAUCAUUGACAUUUUUCAGACUCAGACUUUGUUAGAGACGAAUUUCCUAAGGGUAUGAGCUGGGAAGAUGACAUUUCAUUGACAUACAAGAUGUAUAAAACGCCAAAGAAAGAGUGAGGUAAAUUACAAGGUUGUUUUGAUAACUUAUUGAGGUAGCAGAAGUAGCUUGCUGUGCUGUAAUGAAAAGACAGGAAGUUGUGGUUAAGGCAUAGGGUUGGGAAUCUGUCCUAUACCCAGCCCUACCACAAACUUCCUGUGUUACUUUGACAAUGUUUUUCUAAUGUACCCACUAAUUUUGGAUGCCCAACGAGGGCCCGAUUUUCAGAGAUGCUGAAAACAACAGAAUUGGGACUGCUCUCAAAAUCAGUGGCCAAGGUGUGGCAAGGAAGGCACUCAAAAUUAAUGGGAGCUUUUGAAAAUAACAGUCUAAGCAUGUGUGUCUGCCUCAGUUUCUCUUUCUUUAAAAGGCAGAUAUUAAUACUGCCUCUUAGUGAUCUUAAGAAAGAUGACUUCAUUAAUGUGUGUGAGAUGCUAAGUUACUAAAGUGAGGA